rnacentral:rRNA from 1 species
UACGUAGGGGGCAAGCGUUGUCCGGAAUCAUUGGGCGUAAAGCGCGUGUAGGCGGCCCGGUAAGUCCGCUGUGAAAGUCGGGGGCUCAACCCUCGGAUGCCGGUGGAUACUGUCGGGCUCGAGUACGGAAGAGGCGAGUGGAAUUCCCGGUGUAGCGGUGAAAUGCGCAGAUAUCAGGAGGAACACCUAUUGCGAAGGCAGCUCGCUGGGACGUCACUGACGCUGAGACGCGAAAGCGUGGGGCGCAAACAGG